rnacentral:rRNA from 1 species
GGAGGGAUCAUUACCGAGUUUUCAACUCCCUAACCCUUAUGUGAACCUACCUAUUGUUGCUUCGGCGGACUCGCCCCAGCCGGACGCGGACUGGACCAGCGGCCGCCGGGGACCCUCAAACUCUUGUAUUAUCAGCAUCUUCUGAAUACGCCGCAAGGCAAAACAAAUAAAUCAAAACUUUCAACAACGGAUCUCUUGGCUCUGGCAUCGAUGAAGAACGCAGCGAAAUGCGAUAAGUAAUGUGAAUUGCAGAAUCCAGUGAAUCAUCGAAUCUUUGAACGCACAUUGCGCCCGCCAGCAUUCUGGCGGGCAUGCCUGUUCGAGCGUCAUUUCAACCCUCGACCUCCCUUUGGGGAAGUCGGCGUUGGGGACCGGCAGCACACCGCCGGCCCUGAAAUGGAGUGGCGGCCCGUCCGCGGCGACCUCUGCGUAGUAAUCCAACUCGCACCGGAACCCCGACGCGGCCACGCCGUAAAACACCCAACUUCUGAACGUUGACCUCGAAUCAGGUAGGACU